GACGAGCGCUGGCGGCGUGCCUAAUACAUGCAAGUAGAACGCACAGUUUAUACCGUAGCUUGCUACACCAUAGACUGUGAGUUGCGAACGGGUGAGUAACGCGUAGGUAACCUGCCUGGUAGCGGGGGAUAACUAUUGGAAACGAUAGCUAAUACCGCAUAAUAUUAAUUAUUGCAUGAUAAUUAAUUGAAAGGUGCAAUUGCACCACUACCAGAUGGACCUGCGUUGUAUUAGCUAGUAGGUGAGGUAACGGCUCACCUAGGCGACGAUACAUAGCCGACCUGAGAGGGUGAUCGGCCACACUGGGACUGGGACACGGCCCAGACUCCUACGGGAGGCAGCAGUAGGGAAUCUUCGGCAAUGGACGAAAGUCUGACCGAGCAACGCCGCGUGAGUGAAGAAGGUUUUCGGAUCGUAAAGCUCUGUUGUAAGAGAAGAACGGGUGUGAGAGUGGAAAGUUCACACUGUGACGGUAUCUUACCAGAAAGGGACGGCUAACUACGUG
rnacentral:rRNA from 1 species